CCCUUAGAUGUUCUGGGCUGCACGCGCGCUACACUGAUGCACUCAACGAGUUUACGACCUUGCCCGAUAGGGUUGGGUAAUCUUUUUAAAAUGCAUCGUGAUGGGGAUAGAUUAUUGCAAUUAUUAAUCUUCAACGAGGAAUUCCUAGUAAGCGCGAGUCAUCAGCUCGUGCUGAUUACGUCCCUGCCCUUUGUACACACCGCCCGUCGCUCCUACCGAUUGAGUGCUCAGGUGAAUAAUUCGGACUGCAGCAAUGUUUGGAUCCCGAACGUUGCAGCGGAAAGUUUAGUGAACCUUAUCACUUAGGGGAAGGAGAAGUCGUAACA
rnacentral:rRNA from 1 species